GGUGGGCUAUUUUUUCCCUUCCAUACAAGGACAAAUUUUUUGAUAAACGUGAUUGAGAGAGAGAGAGAGAGAGAGAGAGAAAAGAUUGAAGGGUUUUUGUAUUACAUAACAUUUAGUUGAUUUAAUUUACAGUGAGCAAAGCAUAGAAAUUGAAUUGAAGAAGUAUAGUUGUAGAAAAGUAGAGAGAGUGUUGUUACUCUUUACACACACAAACACAAUACACAAACAUGUUUGAUGGAGUCCCUGACCAGUUCCACCAAUUCAUAACUCCAAGAACCUCAUCACUACCUCUUCACUUACCUUUUCCUCUUUCUUCAACUCCAAAUAAUACAACUUUUCCUACUUUUGAUCCUUAUAACCAACAAAACCACCCUUCUCAUCAUCAUCAAAUACCACUCCAAGUUCAACCCAAUCUCUUGCACCCAUUACACCACCAAAAAGAUGAAGACAAACAAGAAAACACUAGUGUUACUACUCCUUCUAUGAACUUCCAAAUUGAAAGAGAUCAUAGACAAAUUCUUCCACAACUCGUUGAUCCUUGGACUAAUGACGAAAUUCUUACACUUUUGAAGAUCAGAUCCAACAUGGAAAGUUGGUUCCCAGAUUUCACUUGGGAACACGUCUCAAGGAAGCUAGCAGAGGUUGGAUAUAAACGUAGUGCAGAUAAAUGCAAGGAGAAGUUUGAAGAAGAAAGUAGAUUUUUCAACAACAUUAAUAUUAAUAAUAAUAAUAAUAACAACAAUAAUAAUAAUAAUAAUAAUUACGGUAAGAGUUAUCGGUUUGUUACUGAACUUGAAGAGCUUUAUAAUAAUAAUAAUAAUAAUAAUAAUAAUCAAGUUGUUGAGAGUGAAAAGCCAAGUGAAGGAAAAGACAAGAUGGACCAUGAUGAAGAUUCAAGAAACGACGAUUUAUUGGUGACAAAGAAAAAAGAAGAGAGUGUGACAAAUGAAGAGAGGAAGAGAAAGAGAGGUGAAAAUAGGUUUGAAGUUUUUAAGGGUUUUUGUGAGAGUGUUGUGAAGAAAAUGAUAGAACAACAAGAAGAGAUGCACAACAAGCUUAUUGAAGAUAUGUUAAAAAGAGAUGAAGAGAAGUUUGAAAGAGAAGAAGCUUGGAAGAAACAAGAGAUGGAGAAAAUGAACAAAGAGCUUGAGUUGAUGGCACGUGAGCAAGCUAUUGCUGGUGAUAGACAAGCUAAUAUUAUUGAAUUUUUGAACAAAUUCUCAACUACUAAGGUAACAACAUUAUUAAAUUCUUCCAUAAUAUUGCACUCUCAAAACCCUAAUAUUCCUUCUUCUAUUGACAAAACUAUUCAACCAACACCUUCUUUUGAAAACCCUAGCUCAAACCUUCCUUCUAAGAAAAACCCUAAUAUUUCUUCUCUAGAUAGUGUUCCACUUGUUAAAAAUUCAAGAUCUUCAUAUAGUAAUCUUAUUAUCAAUGAGAAAGAGGAUAUUGGGAGAAGAUGGCCAAAAGAUGAAGUGUUGGCAUUGAUAAACUUGAGGUGCAAUAAUAAUAAUAACAACAAUGAAGAAAAGGAAGGGAAUAAGGCUCCUUUGUGGGAGAGAAUAUCACAAGGAAUGUUGGAGUUAGGGUACAAGAGAAGUGCAAAGAGGUGCAAAGAGAAAUGGGAGAACAUAAACAAGUACUUUAGAAAAACUAAGGAUGCUAAUAGGAAAAGGUCACUUGACUCAAGAACUUGUCCUUACUUUCAUCUAUUGAGCAAUCUUUAUAACCAAGGGAAGCUUGUUCUACAAUCUGAUCAAAACCAAGAAAGUAAUUUGAAUGUGCAAGAAAAUAUUCAAGACCAAAUUGAAGUAGCUCCAGCAGAUGAAAACAAAGGUGGUGAGUCUUCUCAAGUGGGGCCUGCAUGCUGGUAAUUAAUUUCAUCACCAUUAUGGAGAAUUUGGUGAGCACCGACAGCUAGAGGAAUGAGAACAAUAUUAUUUACAAUGUGGAAGUGGAAGACAUUGACCCUGCAAAAAAUAAAGGAAGGGAAAACAAGACAUUCUUUAGGACAUUCUCCACUUUACUAUAGUAAGGGAGUGGAACUAAUAGUAAAAAAGGUUAGAGGAAUUUUCAGUGUCUUUUUCUUUCAAUUACAAAGGGAAAACAAGUUGAAGUUUAAGCAAGCUAAAGUCCCGCCUAAAUUGAUUUUUU